GAUGAACGCUGGCGGCGUGCCUAAUACAUGCAAGUCGAGCGAACAGACGAGGAGCUUGCUCCUUCGACGUUAGCGGCGGACGGGUGAGUAACACGUAGGUAACCUACCUAUAAGACUGGGAUAACUUCGGGAAACCGGAGCUAAUACCGGAUAAUAUUUCGAACCGCAUGGUUCGAUAGUGAAAGAUGGCUUUGCUAUCACUUAUAGAUGGACCUGCGCCGUAUUAGCUAGUUGGUAAGGUAACGGCUUACCAAGGCAACGAUACGUAGCCGACCUGAGAGGGUGAUCGGCCACAUUGGAACUGAGACACGGUCCAGACUCCUACGGGAGGCAGCAGUAGGGAAUCUUCCGCAAUGGGCGAAAGCCUGACGGAGCAACGCCGCGUGAGUGAUGAAGGUCUUCGGAUCGUAAAACUCUGUUAUUAGGGAAGAACAAACGUGUAAGUAACUGUGCACGUCUUGACGGUACCUAAUCAGAAAGCCGCGGCUAACUACGUG
rnacentral:rRNA from 1 species